GGAGUGUCAAAACGUUGGGUCUUAAUUACAAUUCAACUGGACUUUGUAAUAAUUUAUUUAAACCAGAUUAGCGAGCGAAACAUGCUCUCAGUUAGUUCUAUGAAAAACAUGUUAACUGUACAGUUUCCAUUUGAAAUGUCCAUCUACAAAAAUCCAUGAUCAGUCUGCUAUUAUUGCCUUACUAGAGUAGGCUGUUGAUUGUCUCCUAUAUUUAAUAUUGUCUAUUUGCAACAUUCUGCAAUCCAUCAUAUUAUACACAUGCAGCCAUGAUAUCAUCAAUCAAACUUUGAACUUAGAACUGCAUUCAAAGAAUGUUAUCGAGCGUAAGAAUAUAUCAUUAUAUGCUAAAGCAAAUUGUAUUUCCUGUUACAAUACUGUAUACCUUUUAUAUAGAGGGAC